GACAUAGGUGGCGAACGUUAUCCGGAAUUAUUGGGCGUAAAGGAUGCGUAGAUGGUAGAAUAAGUUACUAAUUGAUGCCAAACUCAAUUUGACGGAAAUUGGUAAUACUGUUCUGCUAGAGGGCAGAAGAAGUUGAUGGAAUUCUAUGUGGAGGAGUGAAAUCCAUUGAUCUAUAGAGGAACACCAAAAGGCGAAGGCAGUCAACUAUUCUGUUCCUGACAUUGAGGCAUGAAAGCGUGGGGAGCAAACAGG
rnacentral:rRNA from 1 species